CCUACGGGCGGCAGCAGUGAGGAAUAUUGGUCAAUGGUCGGGAGACUGAACCAGCCAAGCCGCGUGAGGGAUGAAGGUACAGAGUAUCGUAAACCUCUUUUGUCAGGGAACAAAGGCGGGGACGCGUCCCCGGAUGAGUGUACCUGAAGAAAAAGCAUCGGCUAACUCCGUGCCAGCAGCCGCGGUAAUACGGAGGAUGCGAGCGUUAUCCGGAUUUAUUGGGUUUAAAGGGUGCGCAGGCGGUCUGUUAAGUCAGGGGUAAAAGCCGGGGGCACAACCCCGGCCCGCCGUUGAAACUGGCAGUCUCGAGUUGGAGAGAAGUAUGCGGAAUGCGCGGUGUAGCGGUGAAAUGCAUAGAUAUCGCGCAGAACUCCGAUUGCGAAGGCAGCAUGCCGGCUCCACACUGACGCUGAGGCACGAAAGCGUGGGUAUCGAACAGGAUUAGAUACCCUUGUAGUC
rnacentral:rRNA from 1 species